rnacentral:rRNA from 1 species
UACGGAGGAUCCGAGCGUUAUCCGGAUUUAUUGGGUUUAAAGGGAGCGUAGGUGGAUUGUUAAGUCAGUUGUGAAAGUUUGCGGCUCAACCGUAAAAUUGCAGUUGAAACUGGCAGUCUUGAGUACAGUAGAGGUGGGCGGAAUUCGUGGUGUAGCGGUGAAAUGCUUAGAUAUCACGAAGAACUCCGGUUGCGAAGGCAGCUCACUGAACUGCAACUGACACUGAGGCUCGAAAGUGUGGGUAUCAAACAGG